CCGCCCGCCGGGGGGCCGAGCGCUCCCGGGCUCACGUGGUCAGAGCCCUCGCGGGGACGGACGGGGAGCUGCGAGCCCUCGCGGCCUGGGCAGGACCCGCCCCGCCCCCCCAGCGCGGUGUGCAGUGCACAGCGCGGGCAACGGGACUGACCUUCCCUCUUGCCAUUCUCUCUCCGGGCGUCGCCCGGCCCACGGCACAGUGACUUUAGGUCUGGGGACCUCGGGGACCUCGUGUCAACGGGGACUUGCGAUGCUGGCGCCCGAGCUUCAUUUAGUGACCGACCGAGAUGGACCUGGACAGUGCUGCCUGAAUCCCGGAACCCCCGGCGUGUCCCACGCUGGCUCCGUUAACAGAUGAGGAAAUCCCGCAGCCCCGGGACACGAGGUACAGCGUACACACACACACACACCAAGGUGUUACACAGGAGACAGUGAUCGGCGGUGGAGACUUACGGGGGAGUCACACCCGCCUAGCGACCGUUUCUGCCUGGGCCGAAAGCAGAAGGAGCUGGAACCGUCCAGGCGGGUGGACGUGAUUGGGAGAUGGGAACGAGGAGGAGGAGGAGGAGGGAAAGGGGGCAGGGGACCCCGGGGUGGGCUGGAAACAUCCUGCGGAAAGAAGAGCCGUGUGACCUCAGGGGCAAGCCCUCUGGAAGCCCACAAGUCCUCCGCCGGGCGAGCUUUUCUGUUCAGAAGAAAACAUGCAAUUUCCUCCCUAAAGUGGUAUUUUAGCACUCCAGCUGGGAGCUUACUGCGUAUCCCUUGCCUAUAUCUUUGUAAAUAUUUUAUUUAUUAAUGAGAGAGGCAGAGGGAGAAGCAGGCUGCACGCAGGAAGCCCGAUGCAGGACUCGAUCCCAGGACCCCGGGGUCACACCCUGAGCCCAAGGCAGACGCUCAACCACUGAGCCACCCGGGUGUCUCUCACUUGCGCGUCUCUCUUUCCUUUGACCGAGGCAGAACCGUUGCACGUGUCAGCAGGCGUGCUGCUGUCUUCCAGAAAAUGUCUUAGGCAGGGAUGGCGGGUUUACUGUGAGGCCGAGGCCAACGUGUUUGCCCCAGAGCCUGGCGCCUGGGGACCGGGGGCCAACAGUGGACCCCGAGCUCUGCUGCUCUUGUGUCCCGACAAACAUUUACCGCCCACGUUCUGCACCAUAGUACAUUUAAAAAAAAAUUUUUUUUUAAAAGCCACUGAGAUGUUUUUAUUUGAAUCUUUUCAGAUAAAGUUUCCCAAAUAUACAACAUGCUUUACUAAUUUCUCAAACAAAGGAUACUUACCACAGUUUAAUUUGUUUUGGAGUUCAAGAUUAUCAUACUAGAUGUUCAUUAUUUUUUUUAUCCACAAUAACCUAAUUUGACAAUUGUUUUAUUAUUUAUUUUAAUUUUUUAAUUUAAAUUCAAUUUGCCAACAUACAGUAAACCCCCUGUAUUCAUCCCAUCAAAUGCAGAGUGCAUUUUGUUUUUGGAACCUUCCACUCUUAUGGAUGCGUCUACUAGUUCAUUUUCACAAAAAAAAAAACCCUCCCAAAACCUUUACUCCCCAAAGCUGAGUUGAUGUCUACUUGCCAUAAAUAGAAGCUCUGCCCUCAAAGAGGAGGAUUCUUUUAGCAGCAAAACUCAAGUUUAUUGAAAACAAGUAUGACAAGUAUAAUAAAAUUUACAUUUGCCUGUGCUA